AGUACAUCGCAGGUUCUAGUUCCUGUCCUCGCGCGUGAUUGUAAGGCUUACAACUAGAGUUUCCAGGGCAGCAAUCCAAAGCAAACAGAUGGUGUUGUGAAGAAGUUGGGCACUGAAUUUUCCAUGAAGGACCUUGGACAGUUGGACUUAUUUGUAGGAAUUGAAGUAACCUACUUCCCACGAGGAAUUCACUUGAAUCAAAGCAAAUAUGCAAGUGAUUUGCUUUAGAAAGUGGACAUGGCCAAUGUAAAGGCAGUUCAUACUCUCUUAGCACAGAAGUACACUCUACAAGAAGCUAUUGGCAGUUGAUCCCUCAGUAUACAAAAGCAUUGUAGGAAGCUUGCAAUACUUGACAUUGACCAGACCAGACAUAACUCAUGCUGUAAAUCUUGCUAGCCAGUUCAUGUAGAAUCCCAACUCUCUGCACUUUCAGGCUGUAAAGAGGAUACUAAGAUAUGUAAAAGGAACCAUUAGUCAUGGACUAUGUAUUACAUCUCAGUCUUCAUUCAGACUAUAUGGCUUCUCAGAUGUAAAAUGGGCAAGAUGUGUAACAACAAGAAGAUCCACCACUGGCUACAACAUAUAUCUUGGUGAAAAUUGUGUAUCCUGGUCUUCUAGGAAGCAAAACACAAUUGCAAGGUCAAGUGCAAAGGCUGAGUAUAGAGCUUUAGCUGCUACAACAGCUGAGCUCACAUGGAUAACUUAUAUUCUGCAGGAUAUUAAAAUAUACACAAGUCUGCUCCUACACUGUUUUGUGACAAUAUGAGUGCACUGUACAUGACUACAAAUCCAGUUCUACAUGCUAGAACUAAACAUGUAGAAUUGGAUUAUCAUUUUGUUAGAGAAAAGGUAACUCAAUGACAGUUAAUCACUCAGUUUGUUAGAUCCGAAGAUCUGCUAGUUGACAUUCACACCAAGGCUCUAGCAAAGGACUUGUUCAGAUUCUUUAGAGACAAGCUAAGAAUGGUGAACUCACCUCCAAUUAGCUUGAGGGGAACUGCUGAAGAGCAUGAUAAAUAUCACGAUAAGAUCCCUUAGGAUAAGUAUAUCUUAUUGUUAAGUUGUGAUAAGCUUAAGUAUUGCAGUUAAGGUUGAUGUAUAACUCUAUCACCUUCAUGUAUUAGAAGUACAAUAUUAGUGUUCUGUACGAGUAGUGUAUGUGUAUAAAUACACUACCAUCGUACCUGUAAUUUGCAUAAAUUAAUACUAAGCCGUACGCAUUUUUCAUA